UAUAUCGUUCUGUGAACGUUACAGAAAGCUUUUCCUUAUUUCUGUACAACUGUGAAAUUCAUCGAGAUCCAGUUACAUGCUAGAGUUACAAAUACAUUAAUGACAUGUUCUAUUAUUGCAGGAAAAAUACGAGGAACAAAGACGGGACGUGGGCAGGAAGGGGUCAGAGGCACAACAUUUGGAGAAGGAAAAUCGAGCUCUGAAGGAAGAUAUCAGAUCGCUACAGGACCAGCUGGCGCAGGAAAAGCACAAGGCGCAGCAGCAGAAAGCGAUGGAAAUGGCAAUGGAAACCGAGAGGGAGAAAUACGAAAUGGACAUCAGAUUUAUGCGUGACGAGCUGAAAAUUUUAAAGG